rnacentral:rRNA from 1 species
UACGUAGGGUGCGAGCGUUGUCCGGAAUUACUAGGCGUAAAGGGCAGGCAGGCGGAUCCAUAAGUUUAUCGUUUAAGGCGUCGGCUUAACCGGCGUAGGGCGGUAGAUACUGUGGAUCUGGAAUGCGGUUGGGGAAGACAGAAUUCCUGGUGUAGCGGUGGAAUGCGCAGAGAUCAGGAGGAAUACCGAAGGCGAAGGCAGUCUUCCAAGCCGUUAUUGACGCUCAACUGCGAAGGUGUGGGUAUCAAACAGGAUUAGAUACCCCGGUAGUCCCUGA